rnacentral:tRNA from 1 species
UGCCUCGUAGCCAAGUGGUAAGGCAUCAGACUUUGACUCUGACAUUUCGGUGGUUCGAGUCCCCCCGAGGCAGCCA